rnacentral:rRNA from 1 species
ACGUAGGUGGCAAGCGUUGUCCGGAUUUACUGGGCGUAAAGAGCGCGCAGGCGGUCGUUCAAGUCGCGUGUGAAAGCCCCCGGCUCAACUGGGGAGGGUCACGCGAUACUGAUCGACUCGAAGGCAGGAGAGGGAAGUGGAAUUCCCGGUGUAGUGGUGAAAUGCGUAGAUAUCGGGAGGAACACCGGUGGCGAAGGCGGUUCUCUGGGCCUUACCUGACGCUGAGGAGCGAAAGCGUGGGGAGCGAACAGG